AGUGAACGCUGGCGGUAGGCCUAACACAUGCAAGUCGAACGGCAGCACAGGAGAGCUUGCUCUCUGGGUGGCGAGUGGCGGACGGGUGAGGAAUACAUCGGAAUCUACUCUGUCGUGUGGGAUAACGUAGGGAAACUUACGCUAAUACCGCAUACGACCUACGGGUGAAAGCAGGGGACCUUCGGCCCUUGCACGAUUGAAUGAGCCGAUGUCGGAUUAGCUAGUUGGCGGGGUAAAGGCCCACCAAGGCGACGAUCCGUAGCUGGUCUGAGAGGAUGAUCAGCCACACUGGAACUGAGACACGGUCCAGACUCCUACGGGAGGCAGCAGUGGGGAAUAUUGGACAAUGGGCGCAAGCCUGAUCCAGCCAUACCGCGUGGGUGAAGAAGGCCUUCGGGUUGUAAAGCCCUUUUGUUGGGAAAGAAAUCCAGCUGGCUAAUACCCGGUUGGGAUGACGGUACCCAAAGAAUAAGCACCGGCUAACUUCGUGCCAGCCGCCGCCGUAA
rnacentral:rRNA from 1 species